rnacentral:rRNA from 1 species
GACGAACGCUGGCGGCGUGCUUAACACAUGCAAGUCGAACGGAAAGGCCCUGCUUUUGUGGGGUGCUCGAGUGGCGAACGGGUGAGUAACACGUGAGUAACCUGCCCUUGACUUUGGGAUAACUUCAGGAAACUGGGGCUAAUACCGGAUAGGAUCUCCUGCUGCGUGGGGGGGGUUGGAAAGUUUCGGCGGUUGGGGAUGGACUCGCGGCUUAUCAGCUUGUUGGUGGGGUAGUGGCUUACCAAGGCUUUGACGGGUAGCCGGCCUGAGAGGGUGACCGGCCACAUUGGGACUGAGAUAGGGCCCAGACUCCUACGGGAGGCAGCAGUGGGGAAUAUUGCACAAUGGGGGGAAGCCUGAUGCAGCAACGCCGCGUGCGUGAUGACCGCUUUCGGGUUGUAAACCGAUUUGGCAUGUGACGAAGCGUGAGUGACGGUAAUGGGUAAAGAAGCCCCGGCUAACUACGUG